rnacentral:lncRNA from 1 species
CCAGUUGCAGUAUUAUUAGUAUGAUCUUACUAUUUGAAACAAUCCAGUAAAUUGUGUUGUGAGUUAUGAUUAAGGAGUCCUGUACAUUGAUUAUAUAAUGCAAUCAUGCAUAAAAGCACUUGGUAGAUGACCCUAAAAGGAAAAUCUGCUCUUUUUUAUUUAACCCCUAUCUUCCUAUAAGAAUUCUUUAUCUGUGUAAUUUUUUACAUCUUGUAAUUCAUAUUAAAGUAGGCUUUUUUCUAAUUACAAAAGCAAUACUGCAGCCUAGAGAAGGAGAAGAAAAAGCUUACUCUCCCAGUGACCCCUUCCUAAGUAUUUGUCUUUUCAGUCUUUUCUAUGAAUGCUACACAUACACUUGUGGAUUUACUUAAAUGACAUCUUAGCAUACAAACUAUUUUAUAACUUGCUUUCAAGUUAUAAACUAAUAUUUUGUGAAAAUAUUCAACUAAUAUUUUGUGAAAAUCAUAUCAAUAAAAAUACAUACAUACAUACUGGUUAUGUAGUAUUACAUUUUUUACC